UACGUAGGGUGCAAGCGUCAAUCGGAAUUACUGGGCGUAAAGCGUGCGCAGGCGGUGAUGUAAGACAGUUGUGAAAUCCCCGGGCUCAACCUGGGAACUGCAUCUGUGACUGCAUUGCUGGAGUGCGGCAGAGGGGGAUGGAAUUCCGGCGUGUAGCAGUGAAAUGCGUAGAUAUGCGGAGGAACACCGAUGGCGAAGGCAGCCCCCCUGGGUCAAGAUUGACGCUCGAUGCACGAAAGCGUGGGGAGCAAACAGG
rnacentral:rRNA from 1 species